rnacentral:rRNA from 1 species
GGGGGAUAACGCGUGAGAAUCUGGCUCUAGGUUCGGGACAACCACUGGAAACGGUGGCUAAUACCGGGUAUGCCGAGAGGUGAAUAGUUUUAACUGCCUGGGAGAUGAGCUCGCGUUCUGAUUAGAUAGUUGGUGGGUGUAAGGGGACUACCAAGGGCGACGAUCAGUAGCUGGGUCUGAGAGGAUGAUCAGCCACACUGGAACUGAGACACGGUCCAGACUCCUACGGGAGGCAGCAGUGGGGAAUUUUCCGCAAUGGGCGAAAGCCUGACGGAGCAAUACCGCGUGAGGGAGGAAGGCUCUUGGGUUGUAAACCUCUUUUCUCAGGGAAUAAGCAAGUGAAGGUACCUGAGGAAUCAGCAUCGGCUAACUCCGUGCCAGCAGCCGCGGUAAUACGGAGGAUGCAAGCGUUAUCCGGAAUGAUUGGGCGUAAAGCGUCCGUAGGUGGCUGUGUGUGUCUAUUGUUAAAGAGUUUGGCUCAACCAAAUAAGGGCGGUAGAAACUACACAGCUAGAGUGCGUUCGGGGCAGAGGGAAUUCCUGGUGUAGCGGUGAAAUGCGUAGAGAUCUGGAAGAACACCGGUGGCGAAAGCGCUGUGCUAGUCCGCCACUG